AAAUCAGUAUGUUGGGGUUGCAGGAGGUAUAAACCCAGUCACCAUGAAGCUGAGCUGCACGCUCACACAGUGGGCCCUUUAUGUCUGCCCUGCUGUGCUCCUGGCAACCCAGAUGUUACUGGGUAAGUAAAGUGUUUGAAUGCUGGUGUGGAGAUGAGAUACGCCAAAUCUUGAGGAAAUCCUCAAAGCAGCUGCCAGUUCAGAGACUCUGAAGUGUGAAGGACUUGUCAGCACUGAGCAAGGCAGCUGCCAGGCUGCUGCUGAGGAAGACGAGGGUGAUGAAGAUGAUGGCGAUAUGACCCAAUCCAGUGAAGCUGGCUUCCAGUUCAAGGGCUACACAUUCAGUAAACCCUUCCAUCUCAGCGUGUCCUAUGACUGGCUGAUCCUUCAAGGUCCAGCUACAUUGAUAUUUGAAGGAGACACAUUGGUUCUGCACUGCCGCGCCUGGCAAGACUGGCCACUGACUCAGGUUAUCUUCUACCGAGAGGGCUCCGCCUUGGGUCCUCCUGGACCUAAAAGUGAAUUCUCCAUCACCAUGGUGCAAAAGUCAGACGGUGGGCACUACCACUGCAGUGGCAUCUUCAGGAGCCCUGGUCCUGGGAGCCGAGAGGCUGCAUCCCCUGUGGCUAUCACUGUCCAAGAGUUGUUUGCAGCCCCAGUUCUCAAAGCCUUACCUUCUAGUGAGCCCCAAGAGGGAGGCUCAGUAACCCUGAGCUGUCAGACAAAGCUGGCCCUGCAGAGGUCAGCUUCCCGCCUCCUCUUCUCUUUCUACAAGGAUGGAAGGUCACUGAGUGUCAGAGGAGUCUCUUCAGAACUCAAGAUCCCCAAAGCCUCAGAAGAACACUCUGGCUCCUACUGGUGUGAGGCAGUGACUGAGGACAGACAGAUUUCGAAGCAGAGCCCACAACUGGAGAUCUGGGUACAGGCUCUUCAGAAACCAACCGCUUCGGAAACUCCUCCCACAGAAGCUCUCGGUCCUCUGCCCCCACCACCUGCUUCUUCUGCUGAGCAGCCAAGAUUCUCCUCCCCAGACCCCCACCUUCAUCACCAGAUGCAGCUUCUUCUCAAACAAAUACAAGAUGUAAGAGCUCUCCUCGGUCAUCUGGUCAUGGAGCUGAGGGACUUGUCUGUCUACCUGAAGCCUGGUACCACGAAGGUUGCUGACAAAUGAAAGUGAGCUAUUCACCUGCGCUAUAUUCAACCACCGCAAUAAUUCCAGCUCUUUCUGGACUAUGCAUAUACAGGCAUAGUUUUGCAAGCUGGUUUGAUACUUAGUUAAACUAAUGGAACUGUUCGAGUGUAAAUAAAUGCAUACAGGGUUAUACCCAGAAUUUCCCUAUAACUAUGUUUUCUUUAGCCAUGACAAAGUCAUUUUGCAUUCUAGACCAGGAAUUUCUUUCUGUUGCCUAGAACAGAAUUUAAAGAGAAAUAAAAACAAAAAAAGUGGAUUUUGUACUGCAAUUUCAACUGGAGGGGGGUAAUUUCUCUUCUCUAUAUUCCCAUGGAAACAUUUAGCAGUGUCUCCUAGACAGUUGGGUUUCACACAGGGUGAGAAGGAUGUCUGUGCUGGUAGAAUUUAAUGAGUUAAGGCAUUUACAAGCCAAGGAGGCUGAUAACCAUCCUAUAAUGCAUAGGACAACCCUUUUCCCCAAUAAAAAAUUUCCUGUCCCCAAAUCUUAUUAAUGUUAAAGUUAUGAAAUAUAAGACUAAUAAAAGCUAGGUGUCAA